CUCACAAGCAGUAAUCCUAUUGGUUGACAAUGUGAUUAAUAACCGGACACCUGGCAGAGAUUAGUGGAACAAACAAGAAGCCACAUGAACUUAGAGAAGAUGACAGAGAAGUCAUCUUUGAAUGUGGUAUUUCUGGUUCAGUGCUGCUGGAGGUCAUGAGAAGGUGGCAGGAGAAGCAGGAGAGCAUCCUUUGAUGGGGGGAGCAACUGCUGGAUCCUUGUUGACCUCUGACCUUUUUCUGGACUCUGAAGUGCACAGUUUGUUGCUGUAAUGCACCUUUGAGCUCUUGGACUUGUCUGAUUAUACCAGCUCGGACCCAUUCUUUUGGUAAACGCUUUGACGGACCAUUUGUUUAACCAAAUGCCUUGAGUUAGAAACUGAUCAUUGAUUUGUUUGUAUAAUGUGUGCAAAAUAAAAGGAUAUGUAACGUGA